rnacentral:rRNA from 1 species
AGAGUUUGAUCAUGGCUCAGGAUGAACGCUGGCGGCGUGCGUAACACAUGCAAGUUGAGCGACGACGCAUCUGAAGUGGCAACAUGGAAGGUGCGAGCGGAGCAGCGGACGGGUGAGUACAACAUGAGAAGCUGUCCUCUGGUGGGGGGCAACGUCUAGAAAUGGACGCUAAUACCCCAUAGGCCGAAAGGUUAAAGCAGCAAUGUGCCAGAGGAGGUGCUCGUGCCCUAUCAGCUAGUUGGUGAGGUAACGGCUCACCAAGGCGACGACGGGUAGCCGGCCUGAGAGGGUGUCCGGCCACACUGGGACUGAGAUACGGCCCAGACUCCUACGGGAGGCAGCAGUGGGGAAUAUUGGGCAAUGGGAGAGAUCCUGACCCACCGACGCCGCGUGAACGAAGAAGGCCUUCGGGUCGUAAAGUUCUUUUAUGCGGGAAGAAGGAAGUGACGGUACCGCAUGAAUAAGCCCCGGCUAACUACGUGCCAGCAGCCGCGGUAAUACGUAGGGGGCGAGCGUUGUCCGGAAUUACUGGGCGUAAAGGGCACGCAGGCGGUGCAUCAAGUCAGCUGUAAAAGGAUGCGGCUUAACCGUAUUAUGCAGUUGAGACUGAAGUACUGGAGUGCUGGAGAGGCAAGUGGAAUUCCCAGUGUAGCGGUGAAAUGCGUAGAUAUUGGGAAGAACAUCGGUGGCGAAGGCGACUUGCUGGCCAGUAACUGACGCUGAGGUGCGAAAGSCAGGGUAGCAAACGGGAUUAGAUACCCCGGUAGUCCUGGCCGUAAACGAUGAAUGCUAGKKKKGCGUGCAGAGAUGCAGSCGUGCCGCAGUUAACGCGAUAAGCAUUCCGCCUGGGGAGUACGGUCGCAAGAUUGAAACUCAAAGGAAUUGACGGGGGCCCGCACGAGCAGUGGAUUAUGUGGUUUAAUUCGAAGCAACGCGAAGAACCUUGCAGGGCUUGACAUCCUCUGACAGCUGUAGAGAUACAGUUUCCCUUUCGGGGGCAGAGAGACAGGUGGUGCAUGGUUGUCGUCAGCUCGUGUCGUGAGAUGUUUGGUUAAGUCCAAUAACGAGCGCAGCGCGUAUGGUCAGCUGCCAGCAUUUAGUUGGGCACUCUGGCAAGACUGCCGCGGACAACGCGGAGGAAGGAGGGGACGACGUCAAAUCAUCAUGCCCCUUAUGUCCUGGGCUACACACGUAAUACAAUGGCAACGACAGAGGGCAGCUAACCCGCGAGGGCGAGCAAAUCCCCAAACGUUGUCCCCAGUUCGGACUGCAGGCUGCAACCCGCCUGCACGAAGUCGGAAUUGCUAGUAAUGGCAGGUCAGCAUACUGCCGUGAAUACGUUCCCGGGCCUUGUACACACCGCCCGUCACACCAUGAGAGUCUGCAAUACCCGAAGUCAGUAGCCUAACCGCAAGGAGGGCGCUGCCGAAGGUAGGGCCGAUAAUUGGGGUGAAGUCGUAACAAGGUAACCGUA